UGAGGAAUCUUGCGCAAUGGGGGAAACCCUGACGCAGCAACGCCGCGUGAGUGAGGAAGGUCUUCGGGUCGUAAAGCUCUGUCAGGCGGGAAGAAAUGCAUGGAGGUGAACAGCCGCCAUGCUUGACGGUACCGCCAGAGGAAGCACCGGCUAACUCCGUGCCAGCAGCCGCGGUAAUACGGGGGGUGCGAGCGUUGUUCGGAAUCAUUGGGCGUAAAGAGCGUGUAGGCGGCUUGGUAAGUCAGAUGUGAAAGCCCUGGGCUCAACCCGGGAAGUGCAUUUGAAACUGUCAGGCUCGAGUAGGGGAGAGGGAAGUGGAAUUCCUGGUGUAGAGGUGAAAUUCGUAGAUAUCAGGAGGAGCACCGGUGGCGAAGGCGACUUCCUGGCCCUAUACUGACGCUGAGACGCGAGAGCGUGGGUAGCAAACAG
rnacentral:rRNA from 1 species